AACGAACGCUGGCGGCAGGCUUAACACAUGCAAGUCGAACGCCCCGCAAGGGGAGUGGCAGACGGGUGAGUAACGCGUGGGAACGUACCCUUUACUACGGAAUAGCUCCGGGAAACUGGAAUUAAUACCGUAUGUGCCCUUCGGGGGAAAGAUUUAUCGGUAAAGGAUCGGCCCGCGUUGGAUUAGCUAGUUGGUGGGGUAAAGGCCUACCAAGGCGACGAUCCAUAGCUGGUCUGAGAGGAUGAUCAGCCACAUUGGGACUGAGACACGGCCCAAACUCCUACGGGAGGCAGCAGUGAGGAAUAUUGGACAAUGGGGGAAACCCUGAUCUAGCCAUGCCGCGUGAUCGAUGAAGGCCUUAGGGUUGUAAAGAUCUUUCAGGUGGGAAGAUAAUGACUGUACCACCAGAAGAAGCCCCGGCUAACUCCGUGCCAGCCGCCGCCGUAA
rnacentral:rRNA from 1 species